GGGCGUAUGGUCUAGUAGUAUGACAUCACAUUUGCAUCGGGACCGUGCAAAGCCUUGUGAGGGUCCCGCGUUCGAUCCGCGGUUCGUCCA